CCUACGGGAGGCAGCAGUAAGGAAUAUUGGUCAAUGGGCGCAAGCCUGAACCAGCCAUGCCGCGUGCAGGAAGACGGCCCUAUGGGUUGUAAACUGCUUUUGAACAAGAGAAAACCUCGGUACGUGUACCGAGCUGAUAGUAUUGUUAGAAUAAGCAUCGGCUAACUUCGUGCCAGCAGCCGCGGUAAGACGAAGGAUGCAAGCGUUAUCCGGAUUCAUUGGGUUUAAAGGGUGCGUAGGCGGCCUGAUAAGUCAGUGGUGAAAUCUCUCAGCUUAACUGAGAAACUGCCAUUGAUACUGUCGGGCUUGAGUACAGAUGAUGUGGGCGGAAUAUGACAUGUAGUGGUGAAAUACUUAGAUAUGUCAUAGAACACCGAUUGCGAAGGCAGCUCACAAAACUGUAACUGACGCUGAGCACGAAGUAGCGGGAGUACAACAGAUAGAUACCUACGUAGUCGCGACCGUAACGAUAGUAUUACUUACGUUGUUGGUCGAAUAUGACCGUCGAGCGACCGAACGACGAAGAACGAGUAAGUUAAGUUACCGUACCGUUACGGGGUUAGGGUACGGCCGGGCCGGACCGGUACGGUUAAACGUUAAAACGUUAAGUUAAGUUAGUUACGGUUACGGUUAGAGACGGACGACGGACGGACCGACCGACGGAGGGUUAGGUAGG
rnacentral:rRNA from 1 species